UACGAACACCGAAGUUAAGCAACGUCGAGCCUGAUUAGUGUCUAGAUUGGUGACCGCUUGGGAAUACCAAGUGCUGUAAG